CCUGGCUCAGGACGAACGCUGGCGGCGUGCCUAAUACAUGCAAGUCGAGCGAAUUGAUGGGAGCUUGCUCCCUGAUAUUAGCGGCGGACGGGUGAGUAACACGUGGGUAACCUGCCUGUAAGAUUGGGAUAACUCCGGGAAACCGGGGCUAAUACCGGAUAACACUUCAAACCGCAUGGUUUGAAGUUGAAAGAUGGCUUCUGGCUAUCACUUACAGAUGGACCCGCGGCGCAUUAGCUAGUUGGUGAGGUAACGGCUCACCAAGGCAACGAUGCGUAGCCGACCUGAGAGGGUGAUCGGCCACACUGGGACUGAGACACGGCCCAGACUCCUACGGGGGGCAGCAGUAGGGAAUCUUCCGCAAUGGACGAAAGUCUGACGGAGCAACGCCGCGUGAACGAUGAAGGCCUUCGGGUCGUAAAGUUCUGUUGUUAGGGAAGAACAAGUACCAGAGUAACUGCUGGUACCUUGACGGUACCUAACCAGAAAGCCACGGCUAACUACGUGCCAGCAGCCGCGGUAAUACGUAGGUGGCAAGCGUUGUCCGGAAUUAUUGGGCGUAAAGCGCGCGCAGGUGGUUUCUUAAGUCUGAUGUGAAAGCCCACGGCUCAACCGUGGAGGGUCAUUGGAAACUGGGGAACUUGAGUGCAGAAGAGGAAAGUGGAAUUCCAAGUGUAGCGGUGAAAUGCGUAGAGAUUUGGAGGAACACCAGUGGCGAAGGCGACUUUCUGGUCUGUAACUGACACUGAGGCGCGAAAGCGUGGGGAGCGAACAGGAUUAGAUACCCUGGUAGUCCACGCCGUAAACGAUGAGUGCUAAGUGUUAGAGGGUUUCCGCCCUUUA
rnacentral:rRNA from 1 species